rnacentral:rRNA from 1 species
CCUACGGUAGGCAGCAGUGGGGAAUAUUGGACAAUGGGGGGAACCCUGAUCCAGCGACGCCGCGUGAGUGAAGAAGUAUUUCGGUAUGUAAAGCUCUAUCAGCAGGGAAGAAAGAAAUGACGGUACCUGACUAAGAAGCCCCGGCUAACUACGUGCCAGCAGCCGCGGUAAUACGUAGGGGGCAAGCGUUAUCCGGAUUUACUGGGUGUAAAGGGAGCGUAGACGGCGAUGCAAGUCUGAAGUGAAAGGCGGGGGCCCAACCCCCGGACUGCUUUGGAAACUGUAUGGCUGGAGUGCAGGAGAGGUAAGUGGAAUUCCUAGUGUAGCGGUGAAAUGCGUAGAUAUUAGGAGGAACACCAGUGGCGAAGGCGGCUUACUGGACUAUAACUGACGUUGAGGCUCGAAAGCGUGGGGAGCAAACAGGAUUAGAUACCCCUGUAGUC